rnacentral:lncRNA from 10 species
CCGCCACCGCCAUGCCCGGCUAAUUUUUUGUAUUUUUUAGUAGAGACGGGGUUUCACCGUGUUAGCCAGGGUGGUCUGGAUCUCCUGACCUCAUGAUCCGCCCACCUCGGCCUCCCAAAGUGCUGGGAUUACAGGCGUGAGCCACCGCGCCUGGCCGUGAUUUUUAUCUAGAAAAAAAAAUGAGGCUCUUUCGGUGUCAGCCUUGACACUUUGCUUGACCUCUUUGUGCUAUUCUCACUGUCUCAGAGGCCGUGGGCCCUCAGAUGCUGUGGUUACGUCAAGCUCACUCUGCUCUGCAGCUGAGCUAUUUUACAUUAAGAAGCAGAUGGUGUGGAAGCCUGGCACAGGCCUUUCGGUCCAAACGGCACUCUUUGAUUCAGAACCUGCAGAAAAGCUGGAGGAAGGGAGGUGCAGCUUUGGCUCAGCUCUUAACAGUGCAACAUCUAGUGCCUCUAUAGUUCUCUUGGACACAGAUGGCUGCUUUCGAAGAAGAAAGAAGUGGAAAGUGAUGGAGUUUCUAUGCUCCAGCUCUCUUUGCCUGCUGCCAUCCACGUAAGAUGUGACUUGCUCCUCUUUGCCUUCUGCCAUAAUUGUGAGCCCCCCUCAGCCAUGUGGAAUGAUGGAAAACAGAACAAGCCAUGGAGGCCCCAGGGAUCAGGCAGGGCCAAGAGGAUCUGAUGGCGGAAGGGGGAGCACAUCAACAAGACCUUACAAGGCAACUUGCAUGGAUGCUCUGAAGCAACUUUGAGGUCUCCUUGAUGAGGAAAGUUGGCUCAACCUGCUGUAGAGUAGGCCCACAGCCAAGCCAUUGAGAGACAAGUCCAUGGGAGACAAAUUAGCUCAUGCAGCUGAGAUGUCCUGGAGAUUUUCCACAGCACCACUUGGCCAGUGCCUAGACAAGAGUUCUACCUGUGACAAGAAAUGAUAAUCAAAUCAGCUGGGCAUUAUCAAGCAAAAUGAUGAAAAUGUAUUUUAAUGUAAAACAUACCAGGCUAUUCUUUGGUAUGACACCUGACGGGAAGCUUGGAUCAGGUUGAGUAUGGCAGAAAGUCUCAUGCAUCAUUCCUGUGCCUAAGUGACAAUCUCAGUUGAGACCUUCAGGUUUUCCCACCUUAUCUAUCUCAACGACUGGGUUCCUUUCCACUUUGCCAUUCCUCAUCCCUCCACUGACUGCCAUAUUGAUUUUUCAAAAUGUAAAUAUAAUUAUGUCACUCAUCUUCCAAAAGUUCUUAAGUAAUUGCUUAUAACCCACAAUAUGAUAGAAAAACUGAGAGUGGUGUAGAGGAUCCUUUAGGCCUUGGGCCUGCCUACCUGCUCAGCAUUAUCUGCUCUACCCUCAUUAACCCCCUCUGCACUGGCUAUACUGAGAAAUUUGGUAUCCCCCAAAGUUAUCAUGACAUGCUGCCCUUUUGGCUGGCCAGCUCUUGCUACCUGCUGCAAGAGAACAGCUACUCUCCCUUCAAGUCCAAAUGUUAUCUAUCCUGUUG